ensembl:snRNA U6 U6 spliceosomal RNA
GCUUCUGGGGUGCAGUACAUAUGAAAAUUGGAACAAUACAGAGAAGAUUAGCAUGGUCCCUGCACAAGGAUGUCACGCAGUUUCGUGAAGAAUAGAGCCCUGUG